rnacentral:rRNA from 1 species
GCAUAUCAAUAAGCGGAGGAAAAGAAACCAACAGGGAUUGCCUCAGUAACGGCGAGUGAAGCGGCAAUAGCUCAAAUUUGAAAUCUGGUCUCUCGGGGCCCGAGUUGUAAUUUGUAGAGGAUGUUUUGGGCACCGCCCCGGCCUAAAUUUCUUGGAACAGAAUGUCAAAGAGGGUGAGAAUCCCGUCUUGGACCGGCGGUAGGGCCUGUGUAAAACUCCUUCGACGAGUCGAGUUGUUUGGGAAUGCAGCUCAAAAUGGGUGGUAAAUUUCAUCUAAAGCUAAAUAUUGGCCAGAGACCGAUAGCGCACAAGUAGAGUGAUCGAAAGAUGAAAAGCACUUUGAAAAGAGAGUUAAACAGUAUGUGAAAUUGUUGAAAGGGAAGCGCUUGCAACCAGACUUGCGCGCGGCGGUUCCUCGCGUCUUCUGGCGCGGGUACUCCGUCGUGUCCAGGCCAACAUCGGUUCUGGGGGCCAGUUAAAGGCCCGGGGAAUGUACCUACCCACGGGUAGACUUAUAGACCCGGGUGUCAUGUGGCCUCCCGGGACCGAGGAACGCGCUCCGGCUCGGAUGUUGGCGUAAUGGUUGUCAGCGACCCGUCUUGAAACACGGACC